AGGUCCAGCCUGCCCARAGACAAAGYYYAACGGYCGCGWWMCCCUAACCGUGCGAAGGUAGCAUAAUCACUUGUUCUUUAAAUGAGGACUCGUAUCAACGGCACUACGAGGGCUAUACUGUCUCCUUUUUCUAAUCAGUGAAACUGAUCUCCCCGUGAAGAAGCGGGGAUCAAAAUAUAAGACGAGAAGACCCCAUGGAGCUUUAAACUCAUCACGCACCUCUGUGCCCCCAUAUCCUCAAACACAAGAGAUCUGCGUGCUAGUUUUAGGUUGGGGGGACCACGGAGUAUAACUUAACCUCCAUAACAAAUGGGCUAACACCCUUAUCCAUGAGACACAGCUCUAAGAAUUACUAAACUAAUGCUUAUGACCCGAUAUUCGAUCAAUGAACCAAGUUACCCUGGGGAUAACAGCGCAAUCUACUUCAAGAGCCCAUAUCGACAAGUAGGUUUACGACCUCGAUGUUGGAUCAGGGUAUCCCGGUGGUGCAACCGCUACCGAUGGUUCGUUUGUUCAACGAUUAAAACCCUACGUGAUCUGA
rnacentral:rRNA from 1 species